GGGCCUCACAAAAACCUUGGCAUGCUAACUUGCUAGCUUGAGCAUAUGGUAUGAUAAAUAUCAUAUGGGACUUUUUACCAGUGAAAUCAUAGCUUGUAAUCAGCACUGCAUCUUGCUACUGGUGUGAGGGGAUCCUUUGCCUUAUGCCAACUAGAAGGCUGUCGAAAUCAACCCACGGGAUGUUGCCACAUUUGCCCUGAUAGAACUUUUCAUACAAGAGCUCUUAAAAUCAAGAACUGAAGUCUGGAGAGUAUCAAGGGAAGUACAAAUGUGUAAAAAUAUUGAGUGCCAGAUUUAUCACUAAUAAUUUAUUCUCUUAACACCUUGCAAAGUACACUUCCACUGUUAUUUCCAUUUUGAAGGUUAAAAAACAAAUCUAUAAACCCAUUGACUUUUAUAAACUUCUACGUAAGAUAUCUCAACCAAAAUAAAGUUCCAUGAGAAUUUUG